rnacentral:rRNA from 1 species
UACGGGGGAUGCAAGCGUUAUCCGGAUUUAUUGGGUUUAAAGGGUGCGUAGGCGGUCUGUCAAGUCGGCGGUGAAAACAGCAUGCUAAACAUGGUGCUUGCCGUCGAGACUGGUGGGCUUGAAUGUGGAUGAUGCCGGCGGAAUGUGUAAAGUAGCGGUGAAAUGCAUAGAUAUUACACAGAAGGUCGAUUGCGAAAGCAGCUGGCAAAGGCACUAUUGACGCUGAGGCACGAAAGUGCGGGGAUCGAACAGGAUUAGAUACCCUGGUAGUCCGCACAGUAAACGAUGAUAACUAACUGUCGGCGAUACACAGUCGGUGGUAAAGAGAAAUCGAUAAGUUAUCCACCUGGGGAGUACGACCGCAAGGUUGAA